rnacentral:lncRNA from 1 species
GAAUAUUGACAUGAAACAAUCAAAAAUUAUAGAUACGACGGAGACGUAUUAGCACCCCCAAGCUUAAUUCCUGCUGGUUCUCGAGUAGGUAAACGAAAAAAAAAAUAAUUUUUGAUGUGGAAUGCUACCUCGCAUAAUCUUGAUCAUAUAAUCUAAUCAUGGCAUGAAUAUUAAGACACGACUGAUUCAAAGCAAUAGUCUAUAGUUUGACAUAAAGACAUUAAUACUCCGACAUCCCAACAAAUAAUCAAUACUUCCAAAAUAUCAAUGCUAAAAAACAUUAUCCCUAUAAAAUCAUAUAGCCUUGCAAUGCUCCAUCUUCUUGACACAAAGUAUUUAUCAUGCACAAGCCAAUGACAAGCAGAGCAAUUGGUUCAUACUUUUUAACACGCUUCAACUUUUUCUAUGGCACCCCGGCUCAGAGAAACCGGAACGUCCCGUAUUCCAGCCCAGAGAUCGAGGUGAAGUCUUCUGGAGUACGGCACUGCUUAGCAUAGAACAAACCAACUCUCUGUUAUAACACGAACAUGAAUACAAGGUCUCGAUAUUACAAUGAAUAACACCGGCACGGCAACGCUACGCCAACCACAGUUGCUCUAUGCAAGCAGCAUAACAACUCGAGGCAGCGGAACAACUAUUGGCAGCGGAACAACGAACGACGAUGACAGACUCCAAUCCGCACGGACUCUGGCUGGAACGUGUAUCCUAGCUCGUGAACACAUGAACCACACCAAACAAGCAAGCAAUCCAGGCACGACCUGCAAACUGGCAUGACACGCCAGGUCAGUACAUUGAAUGUACUUGCAAGCUCACAAUAACCAAAAGCAGUCAAGACAAACAACAGCAUGGCAUUAGCAGGUUAAAUCAAUCAUGAACAUGAUACAAGCAGAACAAUAUGGCAUGCAUAACUGAACACGAUACAACUUUAGCGGGGCAUGCACAUAUGAACAUGAUGAUACUACAUGCAACAGGUUAACAUUAUCAUGCACCAACUUACUCUGCUUGGGUUACCUCGUAGCCAACACAUGCAUCAACUUACCAACAUCGGUAUCCACGAUACCACCGUGAUCAUCUCGCGAUCACACAACUUCGGUAUCCAUGAUACCUCCGUGCUCCUCUCUUGACCACAACCAAUCUCUUUCUCAUCAUCGAACCGGGGUUAUUAUUAAUCAAGUUAUUAUUAUUGUUGGCUCAUAGUGUGACCGACUACGAACUGGGACCAUAUCCGCGGGCGCGGCUAUCAAUAGAUUUAACGCACACAUUCUGCAGAGGUAGCACACUUUACCCACACCAUGGAACCCAUGGCCUCACACUCCCAUACAUGUGGACCAACGGCGUUCCGACAAAACCGAUCUACUGCCAUGACACUCUCCCGGCCACUCCGACCAACUCCCCUUUGGGCUAAGUCAUGGGUGGCCCCGUGCCUACCAAAGGCAUCAACGGCCACCGUCAUGGCAAAAUAAAUGGUCCCAAACGGGGACAUGAGCUCAAAACCAAACAUGGGCACACAAGGCUUAUGCCGUCCUACCCGGCCAAGGUAGCGCCCGCGCAUAACCUUUCCUCGUUGGAGGCACCGACGAGAGGCAUGACAAUAGACCCAAUUAGGGCCUUCCCAUAAAAGGCAAAUGUGGUUGCACUGGUCAGCUUGAUUUGGUGGCACCAUGACUCAGCCAAUAGAUGUUCAAGUUCAUUAUUAUCCAGUUAAACUUGAAUGCAAUAAGCCGAGCCAUAUUAAAAAUAACAUGAUGCAUCUACAAUGCAGGAUACCAACAUGAGCAUGGAUGUGCAACAUAAUCCUCAAGCAUAUCAACAAUCAUAUAUCAUAUAUCCGAAUGAGCAUGACAUACGGACGAGCAUGAAUAACACAAGCAUAACUGUACCAUAAGCAUAGCAUGACCACUAGCAUCAUGAAUAAAUACCAUGCAAGAACACAUCAAUAACAUUACCGAGUAAACACUUAACCAACUAACAGCAAAGAAACAUGCAACUCAACAUUAUUCGGUAACCGACGAUAGUCAUGCACUGAAGAACAUGACCAACCCAACAUGUACUACUACCAAGCAUGGCAAUAUGAAAGUAAUACUAGCAAGUAGAACAUGAUAACUAGGUGCAUAUGAACAUAUCAUGAAAGUAAACACAGAUCCAUAGCAUAACCGAAACAACAAUAGCAGUAACAAAACAAACAGACAGUUAUUUAAGAUUCAAGUUGAAAACCAAUGCUACUGCAUGGCUAUCAUGCAAAUGGUGGUUGUGGCUUGCCUGGGGUGACGGAGACUCCAGGAAAAAGGUGCGGCGAAACCACAGAACGAAACGCCGGACGGUUCUCUCUCGAAGGGGGCUGAUAGAGGCAAGGGCAAAAUGGUCAUUUUCACUAUGGGACCACCUAGUGAAAAUGAUACCAACAGAAAGUUAUCGACGAGACGAAGACGUGAGCGUUGAUUUCACCUUGAUCGGAGUUGCGGUUGAAAAGUUAUGAGGUGAUGAAGAUCAGGGACCUAUAUGUGAAUAUUUUCAUCACCAACAAGUCCCUGGCGGCUGAAAUAGAAAGUGCCUUUCACAGUAAUACGUUUUCAGGACAGAGAAAAGGCUAAAGUAGAGUGAUAGUACGCUUUCCGAAGAGGUAAACGUAACUUUGGGAAUACGUCUCCACUAACGUACCUGGGCCUGGGUCCAAGUCAACGCAUGGGAGACAGAAGGCGGGACCCGCGGGCAGAGGAGAGGCGAGGCAGGGCGAUGCCGGUGGUGGCCCGGCCGGCUCCGGCCACCGUUGGCCGAGGCGAAGCCACCGGGCGGCGCGGGGCGGAGAGCCGCUUCUGUCCAGGGAAGAAACGGGCGCCAGGGAGGGGUGGGGAGGUGGCGACGAGAGGAGGCAGGAGGAGGCAGAGGCGGGCGGCCGGCGAGGGGACGGGCGACUCCGGCGGGAUCCGGCCGAUCUGAGGACACCAGAGGUACCGGGGAACCACGCCGCGUCCGUUCAGAUGGAUAGU